ensembl:snoRNA SNORA24B small nucleolar RNA, H/ACA box 24
CUCCAUGUAUCCUUGGGCCCUGCCAGCUGUGGCAGUCUCCCUUCCUAGCCAUGGAAGAGCAUUAUCUUGCUUAUUGGCAAAGCUGUCACCAUUUAAUUGGUAUCAGAUUCUGACUUGUGCAAGGAACAUGC